GACGAACGCUGGCGGCGUGCUUAACACAUGCAAGUCGAACGGAAAGGCCCUGCUUUUGUGGGGUGCUCGAGUGGCGAACGGGUGUGUAUCACGUGAGUAACCUGCCCUUGACUUUGGGAUAACUUCAGGAAACUGGGGCUAUUACCGGAUAGGAGCUCCUGCUGCAUGGUGGUGGUUUGAAAGUUUCGGCGGUUGGGGAUGGACUCGCGGCUUAUCAGCUUGUUGGUGGGGUAGUGGCUUACCAGGGCUUUGACGGGUAGCCGGCCUGAGAGGGUGACCGGCCACAUUGGGACUGAGAUACGGCCCAGACGCCUACGGGAGGCAGCAGUGGGGAAUAUUGCACAAUGGGCGGAAGCCUGAUGCAGCAACGCCGCGUGCGGGAUGACGGCCUGCGGGGUGUAAACCGCGUUCGCCUGUGACGAAGCGCGAGUGACGGUAAUUGGUAAAGAAGCACCGGCUAACUACGUG
rnacentral:rRNA from 1 species